AGCUAGUCCAUGAGGAAGUUGAACAUGAAGGGCAUGCAGUACGUGUAGGAUAUACGUGUGAUAGUCCCUUUAAAUAACCACGGUCAACCGAUUGAGCUGGGGAGGACAUCUAUUCAACUAGUAUCUGGCUUAUGUAGGUAGGAAAUACAGAUUCUUUCCCAUUUAUGAGCCAAACUCGAGGAAGGUGUCAACAAAGAACGAGAUUAACGCCUAAGAGCUGCUGAAGAAAAUUUUUGUUGUUAGGGAAGACAUGAAGACGUAUGCACUGAAAAUGUUAGAGAGGGUUGGAAGAAUAGGAGGGGUCGCCUAUACAGUGCAAGGAAAGGCGACGAGAUGAGACCCCUAGAGGAGUUGUAGGCAGUCGUGCCAAAUUGCGUCCUUGCCAAUGACUGGGCAUCUUUUGUCCAGUUUAGGGUGACAUCUGAGCAGAGAAAAUGCCAUGAGUCACAGCCAACAGGAUAUCCAACAUAUGGCAAGUUCAAAGACAUUCGAUGUCACGUAUAAUGAGAUUAGAGGAAGACGCAACAGGAUAAGGGAUGAACACCCACCUAUAGCGAGAUGUGGCCCCAACUCCAUAAGCAUAGGGACAACACUCUUAUAACUGAGCAGGCUGAGGAAGUUGCUGAGCAGAUAGCUCAGAGUGCUAUAGAGCUCUGAGAGUUUCAGGGGUUAGUUGUGGAUCCUACCAUCUCACUCAGGGUAGGUCUAGGCUAACCUGAACACUAGGGAUAGGUUAGAGGGGUUGGUUUUGGCACCACACCGAGUACCAUCUAUGGCCGAGGUCGCCAUGAGACUUCCAAGGUAGGGACCUCCCAGUCAGCCACAACAUCACACCAAACUCUUUUUGCCAUGAGGCGUUCAAGUGAGGCAUCAGUGGAGGAGCUUCAUAUAGAGAUAUGGAUUGUAGAGGCCUGAUUUCAGGCUCGUGAGGCUAAGAUAUAGGCCACAUAUGAGCAGUGGAUAGAAGCAACCAAUCCAAUGAUGGAGAUUGUGUGGUAAAAGGAAAAUCCUAGCACUCCUGCUCUAGUGCUCCCAGAUAUAGCCAAGGAUGAUGAGGAUGAUGACAUUCCAUAGUAGCCAUCUCAAUAGCCACAACCCCAGCCCCAGCCCCAACACCAACAGCCUCGUCAGGAUAAAGAUGAUGAUUUUGUCGAGUCUUUACGAAGGACCAACAAUUGAGGACUCUUAUUAUUUUUAUGAACAUUGAAACA